UUUUUUUUAGUAAAAGCAUGUGCGUAGCGAGCAGUACAGUUCGCGUCGCCUGCCCAACAUGGGCCUCGCCCAGCCAGCGCAAGCAGAGCUAGGAAGAGAGGGCACGUCUUUUUUUCCAUUUAUUUUUAAAUUUUUAGUUUGAGAAAAAAAAUCAUGAUUACAAAAAAAAUGUGAAUUCAAAAAACGUUCAAACAAUGUUAUUGAAUUAGGAAUAUGUUCAUGAGUUACAAGAAUGUUCUUAUAUUCAAAUUUUACAUGAAUUCUAAACAUGUUUGGGAAUUCUUUUUUUUUGUGAAUUCAAAAAAAUAUUCAUGAAUAUGAAAAUGUACAUGAAUUUUGAAAAAUAUCAUGAAUUCAGAAAUUUCGCAAAUUUUAAAGAAUGUUGCGAAUUAAAAUAUUUCAAUUUUGUAAAAGUUCUUGAAUUAAAAAAACAAAUGAUAAAGAGGAAAAUGAAAAAAAAAUUGAAAGAAUAACAUAACUAGAAAAUAGAAAACAGAAAAGAGAUUAAAAUCGGACGAAAGGUUCAAGAACCUUCCGAGAAAUAGAUGGAAGGUUCAUGAACGAAUGUCUAGUGUGCAUGCAUUUUCAUUGUAGAUACUCCCUCCGUCUAGGUGUGUAAGUCAUCUUACGAAAUCCAAAUAAUCCCAAAACACUUAGGCGCGGUGCAUUAAAUUCUACCUUAUUUCUUGUUUCUUGACAUAUCAACCAAUAAGAGAUGUGGGGUGUGCAUGCUUUUAAUGACUUGAAACUACCAAAGACGACAUGCAGUGGUUAGUUCAUUGCAUGCAAUGCUAUUAAUUAGCAAAUGAACAUUAAGUUCUCUCGUUUUCUCCACCUCCUUGGUCACGGUGCACAACCUAAGAUGACUUACUCACCUAGACGGAGGGAGUAAGUGACACCCAAUCCCACCUUCACAUUGGCACUGUUACUUCAUAAAGAGGAAAAAAAUGCAACUGUUAGUAACUUUACGGAUUGGCACCAUAAUGUGACGAUUUGUUCUGAAAAGUGCUAAAAAGAAUAUUUUCUUGAGAAAGAUCCUCCACCGGAUAACGCCGCUCAGGAUGAUAUAAAAUGUAUAUUAUCGGACAAGGAGUGAUGAUUCCUUAGCAGUACAAUGUAUCAUGCUUGCAUCUAUGGAGCCAGAACUUCAAAAACGUUCUAAAAUUUAUGGUGUUCAUGACAUAAUCGCGGAGAUGACAACUUUGUGUUCAAAUACAAGCAAGAGCUGGAAAAUAUGAGAUGAAAGAUGGAACUUCAGUGAGCCAACACUUACUCAAGUUAGUUGGGUAUUGGCUGGAGACUUUAGGCCUUAAAUUUCCACCUGAGUUGGGCACUGAUCUUGUCCUCGCAUCUCUCCCUCAGAGCUACAAUGGCUUUACCAUGAAUUGUUACAUGAAUGGGGUGAACAAGAGUCUGAAUGAAUAUUUCAACAUGCUCAAGACCGCAAAAGUUGAAACACAGAAGGACGUUAAUCAUGUGAUGAUGGUGAGCAAAACAACCAACUUCAAGAAGAAGGGUAAGGCCAAGAAGGGUGUCGGUAAGAACAACACAAUGAAAGGCCUAAAGGUGGUGCAUCCUCUGAUGCAGCUGAGGGUCGACCUCCCAAUCCAAAUACCAUGCAGUCGCGCACCCACGACCACAAAUAGUUGGAUGGGGAGGAAGCCCCACAACACCUGAGGCGGGGAGGGAGGGGAGGGCCGGCGACGAGGGUGGGAAGGACGGCUAGGAGGGGGAUGGCCGACGGCAUCUGAGCGGCCGACGCCGAUGGAAGCCGGUGGACUAUCACGAGAGCGGGCGGGCAUGACUACUUUUUUCAUGUCAGCUCGAGGAUCCACUAGUAUGAGAUCCCACCGUAAUUUUUUUCAUGUCAGCUCGAGGAUCCACUAGUAUGAGAUCCCACCGUAAUUUUAGCUUGUACUAAUAACAAAUAUCAAAUCAAUACUACGUCAACCCACUAAUAUCAACUACUGUAAAAAACACUCUUAUAUAGGGCAAGAGUUCGUCUUCGGUAUUUUUAGAAUCAUACUUGCUACCAUUGAUGGAUACCUUGAAAUUUCAAGGUGCAACAAUCAACAGGUUUCUCAGGUGUCAGAUUUUUUUUUAAAAUAGUUUUUUUUUAUUUUACUGUUCUAACGAGUGCGCUUGAAACCAUGUUCCAAAAAUUCCUGUCCAGCAACAAAUAAACAAAUUUACUAGGUAUAUAUUAUGCAUCAACUACAAAACAACCAAUACAGCAGAAAAUAAAUAUCCGACCUCUCACCCCCAAAAAGUUUAUAUUGAAAACUCAAAAUAAGAAGUUCAUAUUGACUUGUGUAAAAGCAAACAAAAUCAGCUGCUAUGAAAUUUAGCAAGAUAGAUGACUAUAUACUUGCAAGGAAAUCCAUUUUGUGGGGCGACUAUAACAAGCCAUACAUUACAUAUUGGGUGUAAGACGCGACAUACAUAAAGCCCAUUCGAUCAGCA
rnacentral:lncRNA from 1 species